UUGAUCAAUUAGUGGGCAAAGGAGACGUUCUUGAAUAUAGAAAUUUCGUGGAGGGGUUGACUAUUGGUGCCUUUACCCUGCGAUAAGUACGAGAAACGUCUAACUCGUCUGGAGCGUUUGCCGAAGGUUAUAAAUAGCUCAGUUUUAAGCCAGGACCGCCAUUAUAUUUUUGACCGUCGGAUUGUCACUUUCUCUGGCUUAUUCGUAGACGUAAAAACAAAGAGCCAGUUCAGUGUCAGGUUGCAUGGUCAACCUACCGAGUACACCUAACCUGACGGUGACAAGCAGGUUUACUCGGGAAUCCAGUAGAGAGUUAGGUCCAGGUCGCGAGAGGGGCCUGGCGUCAGCCUUUUUACCAACACAGGUGACGAUUAUACCUCUUACGUUCUCUUCAAGGUCUGACAGAGGGAUAUGAGGGUCUCACGUGUGGACCAUUAGGAGUAAUCCUUACUCAUUGAAAUCUGUUGGUAAUUGAAGAAGCGUUGUCUUGUUAAAUAUAUUUAUUUAUACACAUUAUAUACAUGGUUAGGGCGCCUUAUUCAUCUGUACCCAGGCUUCGGCUAACACAGAUGGAGGGAGGCAAUCACACAGACACUAGGGUUUGCUAUACCUCGGUUUUGUCGGCCGAACGUUUAGAGCUUAAAUUAGGGUCCCUCACACACACACUCCUCCCUGUAAAAAUAGAGGUUCGCCUCUAGUUUUACACACAUUAGAAUAGGUGAAUUUGGGGUAGAGUUAGGGUAGAGUCAUUAUUUGGGUGUUAGGUUUAUUUAUUUUCUUUCACAUUUAGUUUGAUUGUAAACAAUACUAAAAUCAUUAGAGUUUUAACUGUUUUAAUUACAAAAUAAAUUAAAAUCUAUCUUCAGUAGCAUAUGGAUGGGUUACUGAGGCUCGUACAUUAAAUAUGAUUGAAGGUUUAUAUAUUUUUACAUUGGGUGAGAUAGGGGAACAAAGUUAUUUGAGGACAUACUAAAUAAUUUUGUUAUAGGGAGCUAGUGACAGGCGGAGCAGUUCACUAGUGACAAUUGAGCUUUUCUAUAACUGGGGAAUUAAAGGGUAAAUAAAGUCAUAUUUAAUAGACGAUUGUUUUCAGUAUUCCAUACAUUAAUAGUACAUUCAGAUGAGUUUCUUGGCGUUUCUUCUCGUCUGAAAUUAGGUUACGAAACGUUGGUAGAGUAAUAUUACAUGGUGCUUAGGAAUACCUAUUAAAAAUAAAAUAAAAUAAAAUGGGUAUUAAUUAGCUUAGAGACCCGUCUUCAUCCGGGCGUGACAGUAGAUAAAGUAUGUUUGUACUUACUAUUCUUUGCAAUAUUUAUUUAUGGUUACAAUGGUUACAUAUACAUAUUUUCCUUUAGCUAGCUAGGUUAGCGAAGAGAUAUAUUAAAAGGAAAAUAUAAGUUUUAAAUUACAAACAAAAAGGGCUUACUACUGUUCACGGUAACUGGUCACGGUAGGGCCCGGUAGGAGAUAAAUUCUAAAAAAUAU